GACGAACGCUGGCGGCGUGCCUAAUACAUGCAAGUAGAACGCUGAAGGAGGAGCUUGCUUCUCUGGAUGAGUUGCGAACGGGUGAGUAACGCGUAGGUAACCUGCCUGGUAGCGGGGGAUAACUAUUGGAAACGAUAGCUAAUACCGCAUAAUAGUAGAUGUUGCAUGACAUUUGCUUAAAAGGUGCAAUUGCAUCACUACCAGAUGGACCUGCGUUGUAUUAGCUAGUUGGUGGGGUAACGGCUCACCAAGGCGACGAUACAUAGCCGACCUGAGAGGGUGAUCGGCCACACUGGGACUGAGACACGGCCCAGACUCCUACGGGAGGCAGCAGUAGGGAAUCUUCGGCAAUGGACGGAAGUCUGACCGAGCAACGCCGCGUGAGUGAAGAAGGUUUUCGGAUCGUAAAGCUCUGUUGUAAGAGAAGAACGAGUGUGAGAGUGGAAAGUUCACACUGUGAC
rnacentral:rRNA from 1 species